UCUGCAGGAUAAGUGUGUAUCGGCUUAGUGCCUUAUGCUAUGCAUUUUUGCCGAAAGUACUUUCUGCUAUAUCAAUUUGAGGAAAGUGGGCAGUUGGAUUUAGCUUGAUAAUUUGCUUUCUCCAACAAUCAUUUUCCUCUCAUUA